AACGAACGCUGGCGGCGUGCCUAACACAUGCAAGUCGAACGAUAAAGGGGCUUCGGCUCCGAGUAGAGUGGCGCACGGGUGAGUAACACGUGGGUAACCUGCCUCUAAGAUUGGGAUAACUCGUCGAAAGAUGAGCUAAUACCGGAUAAGACCACAGUUCCUGCGGGAACAGGGGUCAAAGGUAGCCUCUGCUUGCAAGCUAUCACUUAGAGAUGGGCCUGCGCACCAUUAGCUAGUUGGUAGGGUAACGGCCUACCAAGGCAAAGAUGGUUGGCUGGUCUGAGAGGAGGAUCAGCGACACUGGAACUGGGACACGGUCCAGACUCCUACGGGAGGCAGCAGUGGGGAAUGUUGCGCAAUGGGCGAAAGCUUGACGCAGCAACGCCGCGUGAGUGAUGAAGGCCUUCGGGUCGUAAAGCUCUGUCGGGAGGAACGAAUGCUCCUGAGGUUAACAGCCUCGGGAGGUGACGGUACCUCCAAAGGAAGCACCGGCUAACUCUGUGCCAGCAGCCGCCGUAA
rnacentral:rRNA from 1 species